rnacentral:rRNA from 1 species
CACGUAGGGUGCGAGCGUUGUCCGGAAUUAUUGGGCGUAAAGAGCUCGUAGGCGGUGUGUCGCGUCGGCCGUGAAAACCUGCAGCUUAACUGUGGGCGUGCGGUCGAUACGGGCAUCACUGGAGUUCGGCAGGGGAGACUGGAAUUCCUGGUGUAGCGGUGAAAUGCGCAGAUAUCAGGAGGAACACCAGUGGCGAAAGCGGCUUCCUGGUCCAGCACCGACGUUCAGGCACGAAAGCGUGGGGAGCAAACAGGG